AGCAUAAUCAUUUGUCUUUUAAUUGAAGACUAGAACAAAAGAUUGAACAAUUUAAUUAAUAUAUACAAAACUAACUAUUUUAAUUUUUUUUAAAAGUAAAAAAACUUUUAUAAUAAAGGAAGACGACAAGACCCUAUUAAACUUAACUUUAGUUAAACUGGGGCAGUUAAUAAAUUAUAAUUUUUAUAAAAAUAAAAUAAAAAAUGAUCCAAUAAAAUUGAUUAAAUGAUCAAGUUACUAUAGGGAUAACAGCGUAAUAUUUAUUUAAAGCUCUCAUUUAAAUAAAAGUUUGCCACCUCGAUGUUGAAUUAAUCACCUAAAUUGUUGCAAUAAAUAAAUAAAGGAA
rnacentral:rRNA from 1 species